rfam:Pan troglodytes isolate Yerkes chimp pedigree #C0471 (Clint) chromosome 13, whole genome shotgun sequence.
AUCGCUUCUUAGGCUUUUGGCUAAGAUCGAGUGUAAUAUCUGUUCUUAUCAGUUUAAAAAAUUAACAAGAAAGUAUAAGAGUUAUACUUUUAUUAUAAAAGUAUAAGAACAUUU